UUCUGGUGUGUGGGCAGGACAGUCCCUCCCCCUACCUGGCUGAUCCCCUGGCAAUGCCUCCCCAGGCUGGAUUGAGCGAUUGGCUGAGGUAGGCAGAGACCUCCAGGUAUCCAGCCUGGGGAGGGCAAAGCCAGCCCGUACUGCCAGGAGUCGCACUGGGAUCCAGGGGGCUGCACACGACCACACAAAAGGCACCUCCAUUUGAUGUGGGGAGUGCUCAUUGUACCCAUACAGCUUUACAAACCAGCAGUGACUGAUGUGCUGAUGUUCCCCCACACGCAAAAUACAUUCGCGUUUGUGCAGACAUACAGUGGUACCUCUGUUUCCGAACAUAAUCCAUUCCAGAAGACCGUUCCUAGUUCUGAGACGUUUGAAAACCGAAAACUCAAUAGCCAACAUCUAGGCCUCAGGAUCUUGCACUCAGCAGUGGCAUGUUCGACUUCCGAGGCGUGUUCGAAAACCGAAGGAAUUACUUCCAGGUUUGCGGCGUUCGAAAACCGAAAUGUUCGUCAACGGAGUUGUUCGAAAACUGAGGUACCACUGUACUAGAGGGCAAGGCUUCAAGCACAUGUGCUCACUCACAGAAACAAGCUUAUUCUUUGCUCAAAACAGAAGUGUGUGGUGUUGGAGAUGCCUGGAUGGACGGAUGCUCAGUAAACAGCUCGCAAAUUGUUCAGGGACUGCUUACCUCCACAUGUCUGGUUGGGAUGAAACAGCAGGCCAAGGUGGGGCUGAAAGGUUGAAGAAAGAGAAGAACACAGAUGCCAUCACCUGAGAGGAUUGCAUGAGAUCCCAGCUUUUGGCUCACCUCCCAUGCCCCCCCCCCCAAAGCAGCAGCAGCACAAAGGCCACACUCCAGUCUUUAAUGGCUUGGGAGGACCAGGUAAAUUGAAAGGUUGUCUUCUCCCAAAUGCACACCCACUCAAACCUUACGUUCCUCUCUUCAGAGCCAGAGGCCCUACCUCACUGGCCCUGCCAGGCUACAGGAGGGGGCAGGUUCCAGGGAGAGGGCCUUUCUGGUGGUGGCACCUCUGCUCCAAAAGGACCUCCCCAGAAAGAGCUGCUUACCAUCAGGUUUGUGGCCUUUUUGGCACAAGGGGAGAGAUUUGCUUUUAUCCAUCCAGGCCUUUAAAAACAAUUUGAAUUUUAAAACAACACAAAUCUGGGCUCUAAUGGUGUAAGCUGCAUUUGGUAAAUUCCUAACGGAUCACAUUUUCCUCCAAUUUUUUACGCUGUGUUAGUACAUUUUAAAAUGUUUUAAAAUUAUGAUGUUGUGUUUUAGUUUUGUUUUGCAAACCAUAAGGGAAUACGUUUUGAGGGGCAGCCAUGGGCAUCUGGUAGCAAAGUUUUUCAAAAGUUUUUAAGAAGAUGUAAAAGUUACAGGAGCCCUCAAUACAUAAAUCAGGGCUGCAGUAGUUUGAGAAGUUUACAAUCCCAAUUAAAAUUGCUUUCCCCUGCACGGUUGUGAAGAAAUCCUCCUCAUUUCACCAGUGUUUCAAUGUGUAUUGAGUGGUGUGCUUUCUUUGCCAUUUAUAUUCUGAUGUACACUGCGGUGUGUUUGGUGGGGGAAGUCUUCUUUCUGGUUCAGGUAAAAGCUGGUUUAACUGUCAGUGGGGGACCUUAACUGACAGUGGAGGAGGGGCUGGAGAUGGAACUCUCAGUAUGCAAAAGAAGGAUAGAAGAUACGCAUAUUCUGGUUGGUGGUUGCAGGUUUAGAAUGUUUAAUCAGACAGCGUGAUUGGCUGGGGCUAGACUGGGGGACUGUAAAGCUGGGUGCUGGCCAGUCAAGGAGCUCAGUCCAGGCUGGAUCACGGAAGAGGAAAGAAGAAGACCUGAAAGGAAGGCAGAGUGGCCAAAGAUUGGCUGGGGGUCUUCUAGAUUGGGCCCUGAAUCUGUUGCAGCAAAGAGCAACAACCCAGCUAUUCCACUGGAAUGUCUCUACAGAAGACACCUGGUUUUACAUCCCGGUGCACCACAAUCUGAAAACAGAAGAAAUAAUUUCAAGAUAAUUUGUAUCACAUCAAGGUCACUGCAACACAAUGCAGCUUCACUUAAUGAACCAAGCACGUGAGCCAACCACUUAUGAGGGGGGUGCAAGUCAGAUGGCUACAGGGUCACAAAAAAUGCCUUCCAACUUUGCAAUUAGGCAGAUUUCACAAAUGAAUGCCCCCCCCCGCCUCCAUGGACAGCCAUCAAGUGAUGACGUGCAUGUGCAAAACAGCCAGCCUUUAUCCACCAAAUGUGUGACAUCACUUCACUGCACUACUUCCUUAGCUGAGAUGGUUUUUAGCAAGAAUGUAAGUCAGAAGCAAAAACACACAGAAAACAAGGAACCUUAUCCUCUGGAUCUCGAAGAGAAACCUUUGACUACACCCAAUUUCUGACUGCACAUGUUCUUGACGCUUGAAAGUAAGACAACACAAUCUUAACAGGCAAGAACCUUUGGGCCACCAAAUAGGCCAGAACAAAGCUUCAGGAUUUUUUUAUUUUUAAAAGUAUCCCUCAUGACUAACUCUGUUCUGAAGUCAGUAAGAUGUAGUUAAUACUACUAAAGCAGAGGUUUCUUGA